GAUGAGCGCUGGCGGCGUGCCUAAUACAUGCAAGUCGAGCGAACGGACGAGAAGCUUGCUUCUCUGAUGUUAGCGGCGGACGGGUGAGUGACACGUGGAUAACCUACCUAUAAGACUGGGAUAACUUCGGGAAACCGGAGCUAAUACCGGAUAAUAUUUUGAACCGCAUGGUUCAAAAGUGAAAGACGGUCUUGCUGUCACUUAUAGAUGGAUCCGCGCUGCAUUAGCUAGUUGGUAAGGUAACGGCUUACCAAGGCAACGAUGCAUAGCCGACCUGAGAGGUUGAUCGGCCACACUGGAACUGAGACACGGUCCAGACUCCUACGGGAGGCAGCAGUAGGGAAUCUUCCGCAAUGGGCGAAAGCCUGACGGAGCAACGCCGCGGGAGUGAUGAAGGUCUUCGGAUCGUAAAACUCUGUUAUUAGGGAAGAACAUAUGUGUAAGUAACUGUGCACAUCUUGACGGUACCUAAUCAGAAAGCCACGGCUAACUACGU
rnacentral:rRNA from 1 species